rnacentral:sRNA from 1 species
CUCAAAAUGCAUUCUUCAGAGGUGUUCUGAAGACGCAGAUCCCGAUAUUAACUUACCAAGGUGGAUCAGUGGAAGCUGCUCAGGCAUUCCUUUGCAAAGAUGGGGACCCGCAGACACCUAGAUUUGACCACCUGGUGGCCAUAGAACGUGCCGGAAGGGCUGCCGAUGGCAAUUACUACAAUGCAAGGAAGAUGAACAUCAAGCACUUGGUUGACCCCAUUGACGAUCUUUUUCUUGCUGCGAAGAAGAUUCCUGGAAUCUCAUCAACUGGAGUCGGUGAUGGAGGCAACGAGCUUGGGAUGGGUAAAGUCAAGGAGGCUGUGAGGAGGCACAUACGGCACGGGGAUGUCAUCGCCUGCGACGUGGAGGCUGACUUUGCCGUCAUUGCUGGUGUUUCUAACUGGGGAGGCUAUGCCCUGGCCUGCGCACUCUACAUCCUGUACUCAUGUGCUGUCCACAGUCAGUACCUGAGGAAAGCAGUGGGACCCUCCAGGGCACCUGGAGAUCAGGCCUGGACUCAGGCCCUCCCGUCGGUCAUUAAGGUAACAAACCCCAGCCAGCCGCUCGCCUGGAAGCAGCUUUUACCCUGGAUGAGCAGCAGGCCUGAGGUCCCAAGCCGUAAGCCGAGGGCUGGCACCCUGCUGCCCCUCAAAAGCCAGAGGCAGAGCCAGCCUUAAAGCAAAGGUCUCCUGGAUUGGGUGCCCUUUAAGCUACUCGCGGUUCUGAAUCGUGUGGCAGGCCUGAUCCAAGUGACCAUUUUCCUUCUAGUCUGACUUUGG